rnacentral:tRNA from 4 species
UGGGGUAUAGCCAAGUGGUUAAGGCACCGGUUUCUGGUACCGGCAUUCCCAGGUUCAAAUCCUGGUACCCCAGCCA